GAUGAAGAACGCAGCGAACUGCGAUGAGUAAUGUGAAUUGCAGAAUUCAGUGAAUCAUCGAGUCUUUGAACGCACAUUGCGCCCCCUGGCAUUCCGGGGGGCAUGCCUGUCCGAGCGUCAUUGCUGCCCUUCAAGCCCGGCUUGUGUGUUGGGUCGUCGUCCCCCCCGGGGGACGGGCCCGAAAGGCAGCGGCGGCACCGCGUCCGGUCCUCGAGCGUAUGGGGCUUUGUCACCCGCUCGAUUAGGGCCGGCCGGGCGCCAGCCGGCGUCUCCAACCUUCUAUUUUACCAGGUUGACCUCGGAUCAGGUAGGGAUACCCGCUGAACUUAAGCAUAUCAAUAAGCGGAGGA
rnacentral:misc_RNA from 1 species